rnacentral:lncRNA from 1 species
CUAUAACCAACUGGAGCUUGUGCGAGAGCCCUCGUGUAUUCCCCCCCCCCAGCCCCCCCAGCCGGGAGGUGUGAUUCAAUAUUCCUAUCCUGCAGAUUCCACAGAAUCUGGCCCUUCUACAUGACGCAGCCGCAGCCCCGGUGGGUGUUGUUGGGGUGUGGUUCCUGCAGAGAAGGCUGGGGGCCUGAGGACUCAGGCCACAGGUGUCAGGACUGGCCGUUCCGCAGGGCUGCGUCCACAACAAUCCUGCCAAACCGGCUGGGAACCUGUCUUGCUGGGUGCAAGGCCUCUGGGACCUCAGUCCACCCACGUGGGGGCGGGUGGUGUCAGACAAGAGGCCCAAAGAGGCCUUCCCCGUCCUGCCCCCCCACCCCAGACAGAGCCCACUCCCUCUGCCCGGGAGCCAUGCCCUGGGAUGGUCCUUGGCUCUGCAGCAAACCCCGAUGGACUCCGGAGUUUGUUAGUUACCUCUGAACCUGCCCCGGCUUGGUUUGUGGAGCUCCCGUGUCGCUGGCCAGGAGCAGAACACACCAGGACGGCGGGCCAGCCCUGCGGUGGCCUGGGAGGCGCCGGCCCCUGCUUUACCUCGGCCGGACUCCAGCCGAGCGGGAGGCCAGGCGAUACGACCUUGGCCGUGACCUCACCUCCUCCUGCUUCCGUCUGGACGGGCUGCCUGACCCUUCUGGCCUCCAGGCACCAAAACUGGAGCGAGGUGACCCUUAGAGAGCCCUCCAGCCAGUCUGGGCAGACAGGGGUUGAAGGCCAGCCAGCGCUCCCGGCCCCCCGCCCGUCACCUCCAGGCGGGGCCUCCGCCAGGGCCCUGGCCCAGCCACCCGACUUCCAUCGGGGCCAGGACCCCGACCUGCCUGCGUGGCUGGUGCGCACUCCCCCAGGGACAUGGCCCAGAGCAAGCGUCUCUUUCACCAACGAGCCUGUCACAACCUCAGGCAGCUCCUGUCCCCUCCAGGCCUCAGUGGCCCCUCCAGUGGGGGGUGCACCAGGGUCCCGCCCAGCUCGGAUCGGCGACCUGGGGAGGAGACCGGCCUUCCCCGCGCCUCUCGGAGUCCUGGGAACGCCCACGCCCUUUGUCCCAUCAGUCCUGGAAAAGGCCAGGCUGAUAAGGCUGUGGGUGGCCAGAUGACAGCAUUCUUGGGACGCGAAGAAGUGGGCGGGGCCCACGGGCUCAGCUGCGCAGCCAGCGCCGUGGGGCAGCGGCCCUGCAUUUCAGGGAUGCCAGGAGUGCCCGGCCGCAGAAGGAGGCCACAGUCGUAUUUUGCAAGGUUUCGAGGAAAGAAUGCCAGCGUCGUGGGAGGGAGCCGGCUCUGCCCCGCCCACCGCCCCCACCCUGGCCCCUCAAAGCCCACUCCUGAGAGGCACCAUUGUCCCUUCUCCCCGGAGGACGGGACCCGACAGCUUGUCUGGGCCGGGCCGUCCGGGGGUGGGGGGCAAGGCGCCGGGCGACU